GCGAGAUCUGGCCACACUGCCCGCUUUCUCCUCCUGUUCUCGUCUGGUCGAGGUGGUGAAGACACAUUCAGAGCAGGCCUGCUGCAGAGGUGUCAGUGGAGCUUGGUGAAACUCUGUGUGAAGAUGAGCAGCACUGGUCCAGAAAGCUUAAGGCUCAGCCUUGAAAGGUCUGUCUGCACGAUCUUCUCACUGAACUCACAGCAGCUGAAACAUGCACAGAGGUGGGAGUUUGACUAGAGGUUUGAGGAAGGAUGCUGCCUGGUGACCAUCUCAACAUGAUCUCUUCAGCGGAUCCUUGAAGAUGAGGACACCAUGAGUUUCAUGAUGGUGCAGCGACUGCUUCAGCAACAUCACUGAGGUGCUCUAGCUGGAGGUACCUGCCUUUGAACAUUUGGGAAGAUGCUGUGAUCCUCUCUUCCUCCGAGUGUCUGCACAGGGCCAAGCUGCCUGUCAAACUAUCCAUGAAGCAAGAUGAUGGAGGAUGACAUCAAGUUUUAGAGGUCGUCUGGAUUGUUCAAGCUUGUCCCAGAGUUGAGGUUUGGCGCUGUUGUGGUCCGCAGUGUUUGGAACAGUGCUGAAACGCUUGCAACAGGUCUGGCAGCAUGAAGUCAUCAUAUUCUCUUGGUCUCGUGCUCACCGGCAGCCACAGUUGGUCUCUGCCCAAACCAGCUGGAUCUAUUGCUCCACUGUCUGCUGCUUUGGAGUGUUUGACGCUGGACAGAUCUGAGUGCCAACAUGGAAGAUCUAUUAACCAUCUUGUGCUGCUGACAGCUGCAGUUGAAGUUCCUCUAGAGCUCAAUACAGGCUUUAGGCCUGCAGUACUUAAUAUACCAGGUACCUUGGUCAUUCAUGGAAUAGAAGUUGCUGUGACUGAUAAUUUUGGAAGAAUUUAAAGUGUUGUACUCUAAACAAGUAUUGCUUUUCUUUUAUUAUUUAAUACCUUCCUGAUUGACUGAACUGAGUUUCUGGUAAACUGUUUUGAUGGUGCAAAUUUCAAAUAAAAGUGUCAAACUAG